UGUGGCGAGCAUAAGCCGUGUGGCGUAUGCGUAGCGAAGGCGAGUCUUAAAAGGCGUUUGAGUCGCGUGUCCUGGACCCGAAGCGGGAUGAUCUAGCCCUGAGCAGGUUGAAGCGCGGGUAAGACCGUGUGGAGGACCGAACCCACCUGGGUUGAAAACCGGGGGGAUGACUUGGGGCUAGGGGUGAAAGGCCAAUCAAAUUCCGUGAUAGCUGGUUCUCUCCGAAAUGCAUUUAGGUGCAGCGUCGGAUCGAUUACAUCCGGGGGGUAGAGCGACUGGAUGCUUGCGGGCCCAUAUCGGGUACCAACAGCAACCAAACUCCGAAUACCCGUGAUGCGUAUCCCGGCAGUGAGUCGGCGGGGGAUAAGCUCCGUCGUCGAAAGGGAAACAGCCCAGAUCGUCGUCUAAGGUCCCCAAGCGUGUGCUAAGUGGGAAAGGAUGUGGAGUCGCAUAGACAGCCAGGAGGUUGGCUCAGAAGCAGCCACCCUUGAAAGAGUGCGUAACAGCUCACUGGUCUAGUGGUUCCGCGCCGACAAUGUAGCGGGGCUCAAGCACACCACCGAAGACGCGGCAGUAGCUUUGCUACUGGGUAGGAGAGCGUCCCAUGCGGGGCGAAGCGGCGGCGCAAGCCCGCCGUGGACUGCAUGGGAGUGAGAAUGCAGACAUGAGUAGCGAAAGACGGGUGAAGAUCCCGUCCGCUGGACGACCAAGGGUUCCAGGGCCACGUUCAUCGUCCCUGGGUGAGUCGGGUCCUAAGGCGAGGCCGACAGGCGUAGUCGAAUGGAUGAACGGGUCGAUAUUCCCGUACCGGCAUGCAACCGACAAAACCGAAUCCGCGAGUACUAACCUCCGGGUCCGGGCUUACGUCUCCUUCGGGAGCCGGAUGCCCUGGCCUGUUGGGACCGUAACGGUAGUAGGUCAGCGCGGGAGUGACGCAGAAGGGUAGCCGGCCGCGGAGGUGGUCUUCCGUGGUCAAGCACGCAGCCCGUCCCACAGGCAAAUCCGUGGGGCGCGUGGGCGAGGUGCGAUGAUGGGCGCCGCAGGGCGCGAUAUCCGGUGAUCCCGGCUGCCGAGAAAAGCUUCGGCGUGAGGCGGCGUGCCGCCCGUACCCCAAACCGACACUGGUGGUCAGGUAGAGAAUACCAAAGCGAUCGAGCGAAUCCUGGUCAAGGAACUCGGCAAAUCACUCCCGUUCCUUCGGUUUAAGGGAGACCCCCGAUGGUGAAGCGGCUUGCCCGUGGAGCUUUUGGGGGUGGCACAGACCAGGGGGUAGCGACUGUUUACCAAAAACACAGGAGCGUGCGAAGGCGCAAGCCGCUGUAUACGCUCUGACGCCUGCCCGGUGCCGGAAGGUUAAGAGGAUCCGUCAGGCUUCGGCCGAAGCGGUGAAUUCAAGCCCCGGUAAACGGCGGUGGUAACUAUAACCAUCCUAAGGUAGCGAAAUUCCUUGUCGGGUAAGUUCCGACCUGCACGAAUGGCGUAACGACUUCCCCACUGUCUCGACCAGGAGCUCGGCGAAAUUGCAGUACGAGUAAAGAUGCUCGUUAAGCGCAGAAGGACGAAAAGACCCCGGGACCUUUACUAUACCUUGGUAUUGGCAUUCGGUGUGGAUUGUGUAGCAUAGGCGGAAGGCUUCGAAGCCACGGCGCCAGCCGCGGUGGAGCCGCAAGGUGAAAUACCGCUCUGUUCGCAUUGGAUGUCUAACCUCGACCAGUCAUCCUGGUCAGGGACAGUGCCUGGCGGGUAGUUUAACUGGGGCGGUUGCCUCCCAAAGAGUAACGGAGGCGCUCAAAGGUUCCCUCAGCCCGGUUGGCAAUCGGGUGGCGAGUGUAAGUGCACAAGGGAGCUUGACUGCGAGACUGACGGGUCGAGCAGGGACGAAAGUCGGAACUAGUGAUCCGGUGCCGGUGUACGGACGCGGCAUCGCUCAACGGAUAAAAGGUACCCCGGGGAUAACAGGCUGAUCAUUCCCAAGAGUCCAUAUCGACGGGAUGGUUUGGCACCUCGAUGUC
rnacentral:rRNA from 1 species